rnacentral:rRNA from 1 species
CCUACGGGGCGCUGCAGUGGGGAAUAUUGGACAAUGGGGGGAACCCUGAUCCAGCCAUGCCGCGUGUGUGAAGAAGGCCCUCGGGUUGUAAAGCACUUUCAGUGAGGAAGAACGCCUGGUGGUUAAUACCCAUCAGGAAAGACAUCACUCACAGAAGAAGCACCGGCUAACUCCGUGCCAGCAGCCGCGGUAAUACGGAGGAUGCGAGCGUUAAUCGGAAUUACUGGGCGUAAAGCGCGCGUAGGUGGCUUGAUAAGCCGGUUGUGAAAGCCCCGGGCUCAACCUGGGAACGGCAUCCGGAACUGUCAAGCUAGAGUGCAGGAGAGGAAGGUAGAAUUCCCGGUGUAGCGGUGAAAUGCGUAGAGAUCGGGAGGAAUACCAGUGGCGAAGGCGGCCUUCUGGACUGACACUGACACUGAGGUGCGAAAGCGUGGGUAGCAAACAGGAUUAGAUACCCCAGUAGUC